rnacentral:lncRNA from 1 species
UGGUUCCUCCUCUUGCAGACAUAAACAUCAACAUUCUGACAUAAACAUUCUGAAGGGUGGUAAUUCUCUCUGAAGCUCUCCUGUAUCCCUCCCUGCUCCCUAUCCAUCAGCACUCCUUUAAGCCAAUCAGCUGAACACACUUCCAGUCAGGUAACCAGCUUGAAAUUAUUUCCCACCCCCGUUCCCUUCUCACUGCCUCUUAUUUUAUGCUACCUGGCUUGAGGUAAGAUUUUUCCUCGGGGCUGCUUGAUAGGAGGGAGAGGCUUAGAUGGAAGACAAAUAUGGAAAUUUUCAGAAAUCCCUUACACAAGAGGUCUCUGAGAUGGACACAGCUUGCCCACCAAAGGACCUCUGCUUUUAUGCUCUCCAUUCACAGUCAGCAGCCUACCUCUCUAGAGGCCGAACACCUUGCAAGCCCGACUCUGGAAAACUGCAUGCCCAGUACUCAAGCCAAGUGCUUCUGGUUUUAGAGUUCAGCUUUUGGAAACAUGAGUGGCAGUCAGACCCCCGACAGACUGUCUAGUGGUAUGGACUUUGGGCUACUUGGGCCAACUGACUCUGACCCAGAUGUGUGAAGGCAGAACCAUUUCCCUUUUAUCAAGUAAGCCAAUUUGGAUAGAAGAGUCAGAGGUGGACUGGAAGCUUCCCCACCUAGAUGGAUUCCUCCUGGGGGAUCCCCAUCCCCAUCUCAAAACCCCAUCUUUUUUUUGUUUUGUUUUUUGCCUUUUCUAGGGCCACUCCCACAGCAUAUGGAGGUUCCCAGGCUAAGGGUCUAAUCGGAGCUGUAGCUGCUGGCCUAAGCCAGAGCCACAGCAACGUGAGAACCUGCAACCUCAUGGUUCCUAGUCGGAUUCGUUAACCACUGAGCCACGAGGGGAACUCCUCCAUCAAACGCUUUGAGCCUGGAAGUGCCCAAUACCAAGCAGCUGCUGGGCAUGGCUGGCGCUUUGGCACCCUCUGGUGGCAAUUCUCUCUAAUUAUAACUCAGAGCCUUUUCUCCUGUCUCCUGAAGUAACCCAUGGGCUGCACUGGCCAUGUGCGCCCGAAGGCUGAUUUAAUUCCUCCUAUCUAAGAGCAACCAAGCGCCUUACAGAGGGGGGUAUUUGUCUCCUGAAGUUGGCCAUGGCAUUCACUCCUCCCUAACCUUCACCACUCCUCUCUUAGUCAGUGAGCCGAACCCACUCCAAAUCAGGUAACUGGAUUUAAAUUAAUCAGCCUCCCCUCCUAAUUUAUGUGACUUGGCUUGAAGUUGUAUUUUCCCUCAUGGGUACACAAAAGGAGGGGGGGGGCGGAUGGAAGAAGAAAAAGGAAAUUUUCAGAGAACACUCCAGAAUCAAGUCUGUGGGAUCGACGCAACCCGCCCACCAAGACACCUCUGCUUUUACACUCUCCAUUUAUGACCAUCUGCCCAGCUUUCCCAAAGCCAAAGAACAUGCAAACCUGAUCCUGGAAAACUGCAUGCCCAAUAUUUAAGCCAAUUACUUUUAGGUUCAGAUUUCUACCAUGGCCGAAUCCAAAGGUAGUCAGAACUACAACAGCCCGUCCAGAUGUCCAGACUUUGGGCUACCCGAGCUGUCUGAAAGUACCCCACAGAUGUGAAGGCAGAGCCAUGUCCUUUCUAUCAGAGGCAACAUGUAACCUACCACUGCUCACUAGGCAAGUCCCAGGGAAUCCACCAGCCCCAUCUCCAACCCCACCUCUGAGCUGGGAUAUGCCAACACCAAUCAUCUGCUGAGCUCUGCCUGCGCUCUGGCACCCUCUGGUGGCCAGGCUCCCUAACAACUCAGAGCCCUUCAGACCGCACCCAUGGAUGGACUGCACUGACUUUGGGCACUUGACAGCUGAUUUCCAUCCUACUCUCCUUCUGAGAACUGCUAUGUGUCACCUUACAGAGGGCGGUAUUUCUCUUUCAUAGUCUCCCUGAGCACUUUCUCCUUUCCCUCCUUCUCCAACACCACUACUCUACGUCCAUCAGCAGAUCCCACAUCGUCAGGUCACCAGCUGGAAAUCCAUCUGCGCACCUGAAUUAAUACAUGAGAUCCCAUGUCAGCUAAUGUUCUUUUCUCAGGGGUGACUGACAUGAAACACCAGCUUAGGUAGAAAGAUAAAAAGGAACUCGGGAGAAAUUUCAGAGCUAGAUCCCAGUGAUGAGCACAGCCUGGCCAGCCAAAACACCACUUCUACACACUCCAUUGCAGCCCACAAGCACUGCUUUUCUGAUACCACAUCCGAUAAAAGCCUGACUUUCAAAAAUUGCAUGCACAACAUUCAAAGCAAAUGCUUUUGGAUUCAUGGUUAUACCACUGGAGAAUCCAAAGGAAUUCACACUCCAGACAGCCUGUCAAGUUGUUUGGUCUUUGGGCUCUGCAACCAGUAUGGAAAUGAUCCCAAGGAAGAACUAUGUACCCACUAUCAGGAUGGGCACUUUGGACCUGAGAGUCAGACUCAACCUAAAAUGAGGUACCACUUCAUACUGAUCAGAAGGCCAUCAUUAAGAAGUCAACAAAUAAAAAAUGCUGGAGAGGGUGUGGAUAAAAGAGUACCUUCCUUCACUGUUGGUGGGAAUAUAAAAUGGUACAACCACUGUGGAAAACAGUAUGCAAGUACCUCAUAAAACUAAAUAUAUAACUACUGUAUCCAGCGGUCCCACUCCUGGGCAUAUGUCUGGACAAAACUACAAUUCAAAAAGAUGAUGCACCCCUAUGUUCAUCGCAGUGCUAUUCACAAUAGACAAGACAUGGAAACAAUCUAAAUAUCCAUUGACAGAUGAAUGGAUUAAGAAGAUAAGGUUACAUACAUGCAAUAGAAUACUACUCAGCCAUAAAAAGGAACAAAGUAAUGCCAUUUUCAGCAACAUGGAUGCAACUAAAGAUUCUCAUACUAAGUGAAGUCAAAAAGAAAAAAGACAAAUAUCACAUGAUAUCACUUAUUUGUGGAAUCUAAAAUAUGGCAAGAUGAUCUUGUCUAUGAAGCAGGAAUAGAUCAUGGCCAAGGAGAGCACACUUAUGAUUGCCGGGGGGGGAGGAGGGAGGGAUUGGGAUGGUUGGGGAGUUUCGGGUUGGUACAUGCAAAUUAUUACAUUUGGGAAUGGAUGGGCAAUGGAGUCAUAGUGCACAGUGCAGGGAACUAUGUGUGAUUAGGUCACUUUGCUGUACAACAGAAACUGAAGAAACAUUAAAAAAUUUUUUGUUGAAAUAUAGUUGAUUUUAAAAAGAGUAAAUUUAAAAAGUGUUUACAUUUGGGGGAUGUAGAUGAAGAGUGAAACUUUUGUACUGUUCUUUCAGUUUUUAAGCCUGAAAUUACAGCAAAAUUAC